rnacentral:rRNA from 1 species
CGUGAGCGACAUGCCCGUUGCCCGGGGACAACCGGUGGAAACGCCGACUAAUCCCCGAUGGGACGGAGGCCCUCAUGGGUCUCUGUUGAAAGUUACGGCGGCGACGGAUUGGCUCGCGUCCGAUUAGCUAGUUGGCGGGGUAACGGCCCACCAAGGCUACGAUCGGUAGGGGUUCUGAGAGGAAGGUCCCCCACAAUGGAACUGAGACACGGUCCAUACUCCUACGGGAGGCAGCAGUGAGGAAUAUUGGUCAAUGGGCGGAAGCCUGAACCAGCCAUGCCGCGUGCGGGAAGGAGGCCCUAUGGGCUGUGAACCGCUUUUGCCUGGGGGCAAUAAGGGSGUCGCGCACGUCCGAUGAGAGUACCAGGGGAAUAAGCAUCGGCUAACUCCGUGCCAGCAGCCGCGGUAAUACGGGGGAUGCGAGCGUUAUCCGGAUUCAUUGGGUUUAAAGGGUGCGUAGGCUGUGCGUCAAGUCAGGGGUGAAAUUMRRRGGCUCAACU